AUGUGUCUGCCUAUCCCUGUUCUCUCUCCUCUGCACAGGCCAUACAAACGCUCCACACCGCGUGGCCGCUGCCGCUCUAACCUGGUGGUCCCAGCGCGCACGACCCACGUGGAGUUCCAGGUCUCCGGCAGCCUCUGGAACUGCCGGUCUGCGGCCAACAAGGCUGAGUUCAUCUCAGCCUAUGCUACCCUCCAGUCCCUAGACUUCCUGGCGCUGACGGAAACAUGGAUCACCACAGAUAACACUGCUACUCCUACUGCUCUCUCCUCGUCUGACUACGUGUUCUCGCAUACCCCUAGAGCAUCGAGCCAGCGGGGUGGUGGCACUGGAAUCCUCAUCUCUCCCAAGUGGACAUUCUCUCUUUCUCCCCUGACCCAUCUGUCUAUCUCCUCAUUUGAAUUCCAUGCUGUCACAGUUACCAGCCCUUUCAAGCUUAACAUCCUUAUCAUUUAUCGCCCUCCAGGUUCCCUUGGAGAGUUCAUCAAUGAGCUUGACGCCUUGAUAAGUUCCUUUCCUGAGGAUGGCUCACCUCUCACAGUUCUGGGUGACUUUAACCUCCCCACGUCUACCUUCGACUCAUUCCUCUCUGCCUCCUUCUUUCCACUCCUCUCCUCUUUCGACCUCACCCUCUCACCUUCCCCCCCUACUCACAAGGCAGGCAAUACGCUUGACCUCAUCUUUACUAGAUGCUGUUCUUCCACUAAUCUCAUUGCAACUCCCCUCCAAGUCUCCGACCACUACCUUGUAUCCUUUUCCCUCUCGCUCUCAUCCAACACUUCUCACUCUCCCCCUACUCGGAUGGUAUUGCGCCGUCCCAACCUUCGCUCUCUCUCUCCCGCUACUCUCUCCUCUUCCAUCCUAUCAUCUCUUCCCUCUGCUCAAACCUCUCCAACCUAUCUCCUGAUUCUGCCUCCUCAACCCUCCUCUCCUCCCUCUCUGCAUCCUUUGAUUUCCUCUGUCCCCUAUCCUCCAGGCCGGCUCGGUCCUCCCCUCCUGCUCCGUGGCUCGCCGACUCACUGCGCGCUCACAGAACACGGC
rnacentral:lncRNA from 8 species